CAGACAGGCCGCAAACGGUAGCUGUCCCCAGAGCCCUGAAGCCCCCAGCCAUCAGGUUUCCUGUUUCCUCAGAGCAGGGAAGGUGCUGGCAGGUGGGUUGGUAUUGAAUCUUAGCUAGAACAGACCCCCCCUCUUAUCCCACCCCAAGCAUCACAGACAGAAGUUUCCAAUGAGGAAUUUCUCAAUUCUCUUCAUUGUUUCAAUUUUCCCCUCUGGCCCUCACACACUAUCCCAAGACUUCGGGCCUUUUCCCUAUCAGUGCUCUGCAUCUCAGUGAUCAUGCCCAGCCUCCAGAAAGUCUGCUUUCUGCUCCAUCUCAUGAACAGAAGCCCUGCUGCUAAAUCUAACCCCACUGGCUCAGGAAGGAGGGGAUGGAGGAAGAAGGGGUAACUGAAGGGCACAGGUAACAAUUUAUGGCCCCCUUGGCACUGUGGUCUUAUCUCUG
rnacentral:lncRNA from 1 species